rnacentral:rRNA from 1 species
CUACCAUGCAGUCGAACGCUGAAGCCUGGUGCUUGCACCGGGUGGAUGAGUGGCGAACGGGUGAGUAAUACGUGAGUGACCUGCCUUUGACUCUGGGAUAAGCCUGGGAAACUGGGUCUAAUACCGGAUGCGACUACUGCCCGCAUGGGCUGGUGGUGGAAAGGGUUAUGUACUGGUCUUAGAUGGGCUCACGGCCUAUCAGCUGGUUGGUGGGGUAAUGGCCUACCAAGGCGACGACGGGUAGCCGGCCUGAGAGGGUGACCGGCCACACUGGGACUGAGACACGGCCCAGACUCCUACGGGAGGCAGCAGUGGGGAAUAUUGCACAAUGGGCGCAAGCCUGAUGCAGCGACGCCGCGUGAGGGAUGACGGCCUUCGGGUUGUAAACCUCUUUCAGCAGGGAAGAAGCGGAAGUGACGGUACCUGCAGAAGAAGCGCCGGCUAACUACGUGCCAGCAGCCGCGGUAAUACGUAGGGCGCAAGCGUUGUCCGGAAUUAUUGGGCGUAAAGAGCUCGUAGGCGGCUUGUCGCGUCUGCUGUGAAAGCCCGGGGCUUAACUCCGGGUGUGCAGUGGGUACGGGCAGGCUAGAGUGCAGUAGGGGUAACUGGAAUUCCUGGUGUAGCGGUGAAAUGCGCAGAUAUCAGGAGGAACACCGAUGGCGAAGGCAGGUUACUGGGCUGUUACUGACGCUGAGGAGCGAAAGCAUGGGGAGCGAACAGGAUUAGAUACCCUGGUAGUCCAUGCCGUAAACGUUGGGCACUAGGUGUGGGGGACA